rnacentral:tRNA from 6 species
UUUGAAAAAAGCUAUUCAGGAACAGAAGGAACGCUUUCAACUUCAGGAAGAGGUAUAGUGUAAAUAA